rnacentral:rRNA from 1 species
UACGAAGGGGGCUAGCGUUGUUCGGAUUUACUGGGCGUAAAGCGCACGUAGGCGGAUCGAUCAGUCAGGGGUGAAAUCCCAGGGCUCAACCCUGGAACUGCCUUCGAUACUGUCGAUCUGGAGUAUGGAAGAGGUGAGUGGAAUUCCGAGUGUAGAGGUGAAAUUCGUAGAUAUUCGGAGGAACACCAGUGGCGAAGGCGGCUCACUGGUCCAUUACUGACGCUGAGGUGCGAAAGCGUGGGGAGCGAACAGG